rnacentral:siRNA from 1 species
AACGAUGCCGACCAGGGAUCAGC